rnacentral:rRNA from 1 species
UACGGGAGGCAGCAGUGGGGAAUAUUGGGCAAUGGGGGAAACCCUGACCCAGCAACGCCGCGUGAGGGAAGAAGGUUUUCGGAUCGUAAACCUCUGUCCUUGGUGAAGAGGAAGAGACGGUAGCCAAGGAGGAAGCCCCGGCUAACUACGUGCCAGCAGCCGCGGUAAU